rnacentral:rRNA from 1 species
GCUUACCAUGCAGUCGAACGGGCGAAUAGAGGUAUGGAGCAUUCGUACAAAAUACUUUUGUAAGCUAGUGGCGAACGGGUGAGUAACACGUGAGCAAUCUACCUCAAGCAGUGGAAUAACAACGGGAAACCGUUGCUAAUACCGCAUAGAGUCUACCUUCGGCAUCGGAGAUAGAUAAAAGGGUUUCGGCCCGGCCUGAGAUGAGCUCGCGUCCGAUUAGGUAGUUGGUGAGGUAACGGCUCACCAAGCCCGCGGUCGGUAGCCGGACUGAGAGGUUGACCGGCCACAUUGGGACUGAGACACGGCCCAGACUCCUACGGGAGGCAGCAGUGGGGAAUAUUGGGCAAUGGGGGAAACCCUGACCCAGCGACGCCGCGUGAAGGAUGAAGGCCUUAGGGUUGUAAACUUUUUUGGAUGGGGACGAAAUAAAUGACGGUACCCAUCGAACAAGCCACGGCUAACUACGUGCCAGCAGCCGCGGUAAUACGUAGGUGGCAAGCGUUAUCCGGAAUUACUGGGUGUAAAGGGCGUGUAGGCGGAUAUACAAGUCUGAUGUGAAAUCUUGCGGCUUAACUGCAAGCUGUCAUAAGAAACUGUAUAUCUUGAGUGUCAGGGGGGAAAGUGGAAUUCCUAGUGGAGCGGUAAAAUGCGUAGAUAUUAGGAGGAACACCGGUGGCGAAGGCGACUUUCUGGCUGACAACUGACGCUGAGGCGCGAAAGCGUGGGGAGCAAACAGGAUU